UACGUAGGGUGCAAGCGUUGUCCGGAAUUAUUGGGCGUAAAGAGCUCGUAGGCGGUUUGUCGCGUCUGCUGUGAAAAUCCAGGGCUUAACCCUGGACCUGCAGUGGGUACGGGCAGACUGGAGUGCGGUAGGGGAGAUCGGAAUUCCUGGUGUAGCGGUGAAAUGCGCAGAUAUCAGGAGGAACACCGGUGGCGAAGGCGGAUCUCUGGGCCGUAACUGACGCUGAGAAGCGAAAGCGUGGGGAGCGAACAGG
rnacentral:rRNA from 1 species